ensembl:miRNA Mir598 microRNA mir-598
GCUGAUGCUGGCGGUGAUGCCGAUGGUGCGAGCUGAAAAUGGGCUGCUACGUCAUCGUCGUCAUCGUUAUCAUCAUCAUC